CCGAACAAAAGAAGUACAAAAUUUAUACUCUGAAAACUACAAAACUUGGUUGAAAGAAAGUAGAGAAGACCAAAAUAAAUGGAAAGGCACCCUCAAUCCGCGGACCUGGACUUCAUGUAGUGGAGAUGGCAGCACUCUCAAAAUGCAUCCACAGAUUCAACGCAACUCCUAUCAAAAUCUCACUUGGCUCCUCUGCAGACACUGAAAAGCUUAUCCUAAAAAUUCACAUGGAAAUUUGAGGGACCCAGAAUAGCCAAAACAAUCUUGAAAAAGAAGAACAAAGUUGGAGAACUCACACUUCCCAAUUUCAAAGCUUACUACAAGGCUGCCAUGAGGAGGUAAGAAUAGACACACGGGGCCAUGGGACAGAACUGAGGGCUGGAAAGAAGCUCCCAGCCACAGGCAGCAGGUGUCCACACGGUGCCAAAACAAUUACACAGGGAGAGAGCUGUCUUUUUAACAAAUGACGCUGGGACAGAGAAAUACCCACGUACAAAAGAAAGAAGUCAGGCCGGGCGUGGUGGCUCACGGCGUGGUGGUUCACGUAAUCCCAGCACUUUGGGAGGCUGAGCCGGGCAGAUCACCUGAGGUCAGGAGUUCAAGAUCAGCCUGGCCAACAGAAUGAAACCCUGUCUCUACUAAAAAUUAGCUAGGCGUGGUGGUGCGUGCCUAUAGUCCCAGCUACUUGUGAGGCUGAGGCAGGAGAAUCGCUUGAACCCGGGAGGCAGAGGUUGCAGUGAGCCGAGAUCACGCCACUGCACUUUAGUCUGGGCCACAGAGCAAGACUCUGUCCCCUACCCACCCAUUAAAAAAAAGAGAGAAUUAAAAUUUUACCAGCCUGGACAACCACAGUGAUACCCUGUCUCUACAAAAAUAAAAAUACACGGUGGCUCACACCUGUGAUCCCAGAACUUUGGGAAGCCAAGGUACAGAUUGCACCUACAGUGCAGGACACGGGGCUUUACGGACAGUGCGGGGCUGCUGAGGGCGGGCCGGGGACCGGAUGGGGACCAGGAGGGUGACCGCUGAACGGUACAGGGUUUCUUUCGAAGAGAUGAAAAUGUUCUGAAAUUGGCUGUGGUGAUGGCGGCGGGUUUGUCAAUACCACGCAGGACCCCUGAGGUGUACUCUUAAAAUGGGUGAGUUGCGUGGCAGGCGAGUAAUAUCUCGACAGAACUGUUGCCACAGAAGAAAAACCAAAACCCAAACCCACCUCCAACCGCGGGGCCGCUGCGGGAAAGGGCAGCUCAGCGCGCGCUCCACGCCCCUUUCUCCCGGGGCUGCUCCCACAGCCCCUGCCGCCCGUGCGCUUCCCUCGCGGGAUCAUCGUCCCCAUGCACCGGGUGCUCACUCCUGGGUCCACCCGGGGCUCGCCCACGGGCCCUCUGCAGGCAGCCAGGGGCUGUCCCGGGUCGCUCUGGAGCGCUGGGGCUAGGGUGCGGAUUCCCAGGGAACGCGCCGGGUGGUCCCUGGCGAUCCCCGGGAAGGCGGCCCGCGUCCCGCGCAGCCGGGUCCAGCUGCAGCCAGGGAGGGCGGGGGGAGGGCGUGGAGGGGCGGAGGCGGCCGAGGUCCCGGCUCCUCGCAGCCUACGGAGCCCGCGGCGUUGCCAUGACGACGCCCGUGAGCCGCCCGACGCUUCCCGCGCCGCUGCCCGGGAAGGGCUGGGCUGGGCUGGGCUGGGCUGGGCUGGGCUGGGUCCCGGGGCGCCCCUCCUUCCAGAAGCGUCCUUACCCGAGGUUGGGUGGGCGAGACCCACCCCCGGGUAGGGAGCGGAGGCCAGGCAAGGGAUAUCUCGGGUCCCACGGUCCCUCCCGCAGGUCCAAGGGCAGCGCCGCUGAAAUAACGGGAACGCCCACCUCCUCCCCCAAGAACCCCCGCAGAGCGCCUGAGGCCUCCGGAGGCGGGUGUCUGAGAAAGGCGCAGCUCAGGGUCACCGGAGAGAGAAAACUCCGCUCACAGCCCCGUGGCAAUGUCCCUAGCAACUCCGCUCACAGCCAGCGAAAAGCAGCCAGACGUGCAUCAACCAAUAGCAAGGGUGGCACCGGGAUUAUUACCCAGCAGGGAAAAGGGACAAGCAUUUGGCACUUGACAGCUUCAUGAGGACAAAGACUUUGUGCAGAGAGAAAGGCGCCAGAAAGGUGACCCAUG
rnacentral:lncRNA from 1 species